CAGGCCUAACACAUGCAAGUCGAACGGAAAGGCCCUGCUUUUGUGGGGUGCUCGAGUGGCGAACGGGUGAGUAACACGUGAGUAACCUGCCCUUGACUUUGGGAUAACUUCAGGAAACUGGGGCUAAUACCGGAUAGGAGCUCCUGCUGCAUGGUGGGGGUUGGAAAGUUUCGGCGGUUGGGGAUGGACUCGCGGCUUAUCAGCUUGUUGGUGGGGUAGUGGCUUACCAAGGCUUUGACGGGUAGCCGGCCUGAGAGGGUGACCGGCCACAUUGGGACUGAGAUACGGCCCAGACUCCUACGGGAGGCAGCAGUGGGGAAUAUUGCACAAUGGGCGGAAGCCUGAUGCAGCAACGCCGCGUGCGGGAUGACGGCCUUCGGGUUGUAACCGCUUUCGCCUGUGACGAAGCGUGAGUGACGGUAAUGGGUAAAGAAGCACCGGCUAACUACGUGCCAGCAGCCGCGGUGAUACGUAGGGUGCGAGCGUUGUCCGGAUUUAUUGGGCGUAAAGGGCUCGUAGGUGGUUGAUCGCGUCGGAAGUGUAAUCUUGGGGCUUAACCCUGAGCGUGCUUUCGAUACGGGUUGACUUGAGGAAGGUAGGGGAGAAUGGAAUUCCUGGUGGAGCGGUGGAAUGCGCAGAUAUCAGGAGGAACACCAGUGGCGAAGGCGGUUCUCUGGGCCUUUCCUGACGCUGAGGAGCGAAAGCGUGGGGAGCGAACAGGCUUAGAUACCCUGGUAGUCCACGCUGUAA
rnacentral:rRNA from 1 species